rnacentral:rRNA from 1 species
GACGAACGCUGGCGGCAUGCCUAACACAUGCAAGUCGAACGGAGAUUAUUUCGGUAAUCUUAGUGGCGAACGGGUGAGUAACGCGUGGGCAACCUGCCCUCUAGAUGGGGACAACAUCCCGAAAGGGGUGCUAAUACCGAAUGUGACAGCAAUCUCGCAUGAGGAUGCUGUGAAAGAUGGCCUCUAUUUAUAAGCUAUCGCUAGAGGAUGGUCCUGCGUCUGAUUAGCUAGUUGGUGGGGUAACGGCCUACCAAGGCGAUGAUCAGUAGCCGGUCUGAGAGGAUGAACGGCCACAUUGGGACUGAGACACGGCCCAGACUCCUACGGGAGGCAGCAGUGGGGAAUCUUCCGCAAUGGGCGAAAGCCUGACGGAGCAAUGCCGCGUGAGUGAUGAAGGAAUUCGUUCCGUAAAGCUCUUUUGUUUAUGACGAAUGUGCAGAUUGUGAACAAUGAUCUGUAAUGACGGUAGUAAACGAAUAAGCCACGGCUAACUACGUG